GUUCCUAGCUCGCUCGCGUCUCUCUCUCUCUCUCCGAGCUCCGAGCUCCGAAUGUUGAUUGGUUGGUGUGUCCUCUAGUAGCUGAAGCUGCCAGCAUGAUCUGAGGUGUCCACAGCAUAUAUAUGGAAGCAGCUAGCGAUCAGAUCAUGCUGUGCAGUUUCAUCUGCUCGUGGACGCACACGAGAUGCUGUGCCUAGCUGGGACGUGGUUGAUUAGUUCAAGGGGUUUUGCAUGCGGUGGUCGAUCUGAUUUGAUACAAAGCUGCUGGGAGGAUAUAUAUUCAGUCGACAAGAGUGGAUACCUCUGACCAUGCAUUAUAUUGGGCAGCAACAAUGGAUUAAUUCAAGGAGUUUUUUCUUUCUUUCUUUCCAACAAUCUCACCAUGAAUUGAAGAAAUUCUAUACAGUUAUACACCACACAUACACUUCCAAUCUAUAUCUAAAAUGGAGGGCAUAAUAUCUAUUACU